rnacentral:ncRNA from 1 species
AUCAAGAGAGAUUGAGGGGCCGGCCCGAUGAAAUCUCAGCAACCUACCAAGUGUGUGGUGCUAAUUCCUGUUAGAUGUGAAAAGUAGCUUAAU